GGUUCGAUCAUGGCUCAGAUUGAACGCUGGCGGGAUGCUUUACAUGCAAGUCGAACAGCGGCACGGACUUCGGUCUGGUGGCGAGUGGCGAACAGGUGAGUAAUGUAUCGGAACGUGCCUAGUAGCGGGGGAUAACUACGCGAAAGCGUAGCUAAUACCGCAUACGCCCUUCGGGGGAAAAGCGGGGGACCUUCGGGCCUCGCUCUGAAACGGCCGAUAUCCGGAUUAGCUGGUUGAGGUGGGUAACGGCUCACCAAGGCGACGAUCCGUAGCUGGUUUGAGAGGACGACCAGCCACACUGGGACUGAGACACGGCCCAGACUCCUACGGGAGGCAGCAGUGGGAAUUUUGGACAAUGGGGGAAACCUGAUCCAGCCAUCCCGCGUGUGCGAUGAAGGCCUUCGGGUUGUAAAGCACUUUUGGCAGGAAGAAACGGCCUGGGAUAAUACCCCGUGCAACUGACUGUACCUGCAGAAUAAGCACCGGCUAACUACGUGCCAGCAGCCGCGGUAAUACGUAGGGUGCAAGCGUUAAUCGGAAUUACUGGGCGUAAAGCGUGCAGGCGGUUCGGAAGAAAGAUGUGAAAUCCCAGAGCUUAACUUUGGAACUGCAUUUUUAACUACCGAGCUAGAGUGUGUCAGAGGAGGUGGAAUUCCGCGUGUAGCAGUGAAAUGCGUAGAUAUGCGGAGGAACACCGAUGGCGAAGGCAGCCUCCUGGGAUAACGCGGCGCUCAUGCACUUGUAAGCAGUGGGGAGCAACAGGAUUAGAUACCCUGGUAGUCCGCCUAAACGAUGUCAACUAGCUGUUAAAGGUGCUUCGAGACAUGGUAGCGCAACUAACGCGUGAAGUUGACCGCCUGAUACAGUCGCAAGAUUAAAACUCAAAGGAAUUGACGAGGGACCACACAAGCGGUGGAUGAUGUGGAUAUUCGAUGCAACGCGGAAAACCUUACCUACCCUUGACAUGUCUGGAAUCCCGAAGAGAUUUGGGAGUGCUCCGCAAGAGAACCGGAACACAGGUGCUGCAUGGCUGUCGUCAGCUCGUGUCGUGAGAUGUUGGGUUAAGUCCGCCAGCGAGCGCAACCCUUGUCAUUAGUUGCUACGAGGAGCAUAAUGAGACUGCCAUUGACAAACCGGAGGAAGGUGGAUGACGUCAAGUCCUCAUGGCCCUUAUGGGUAGAGACUACGUCAAUGGUCGGGACAGAGGGUCGCCAACCCGCGAGGGGGAGCCAAUCCCAGAAACCCGAUCGUAGUCCGGAUCGCAGUCUGCAACUCGACUGCGUGAAGUCGGAAUCGCUAGUAAUCGCGGAUCAGCAUGUCGCGGUGAAUACGUUCCCGGGUCUUGUACACACCGCCCGUCACACCAUGGGAGUGGGUUUACCAGAAGUAGUUAGCCUAACCGUAAGGAGGGCGUUACCAGUAGGAUUCAUGACUGGGGUGAAGUCAUGGCACAAAGGUAUUAG
rnacentral:rRNA from 1 species